GAACGCACCUUGCGCCCCUUGGAUAUUCCGAAGGGCAUGCCUGUUUGAGUAUCAUCUACACCCUCAAGCACUGCUUGGUGUUGGGCGUCUGUCCCGCCUUUGCGCGUGGACUCGCCCCAAAGUCAUUGGCAGCGGUCUCUGGCACCUCAACGCGCAGUACAAUGCGUUCAUUGGGGUGCCGUGGGCGCGACCAUAAAGCUAUUUACCGUCUUUGACCUCGGAUCAGGUAGGACUACCCGCUGAACUUAAG
rnacentral:misc_RNA from 1 species